AGACUCCGCCCCUUCCUGAUUAUGAACCUGACACACUUGGGAGGUCCCAGAGGCCAAUAAGAGGGCCUGGCAGACCACAGAGAAGCAGGUGAGGAGAGGAGAGACAUGGCGUGGUAACCGGUGUGGGCGACGGCCGCGCAGAGCGGCACAGAGGCCCGGCUACGGGCAGCUGGCCGAGGCGUGCGGCAAAGGAGAACGGGACCGGAGAUCGCGGACCACCGCGCACUGGAGAGAGUGAUCGGGGCUGAGCAGAGAGUUGGCACCAGAAUGAAGAGGUAGACAGGACGGCGACGAUCCUGUUGGUUUUUGCGCCGUUUGGACUUUUAUGGGACUUGAUCUUCAUGGCUGAGGCCAUUGCAUUGUGGCUGUAUUGUUUUAAUUGCUUUUAAUGUUUUAACUUCAUGUUUCUGCCUGGCCACAGUAUUUUAGUGCUUUCUUUGUAAAUAAAUUAGUUUUAACAACUUGAGUUUAUAUUUGCUACUUCCCUUCUGUUUUAAACUUACCACCUGUUAAUCCUAGCAUUACACGUGUACCAAAGACACCAUGUCCCAGUGACCCCCAGGAUUACAGGCCUGUGGCACUGACCUCCCACAUCAUGAAGACCCUGGAAAGACUCAUCCUGGACCAGCUCCGACCCAUAGUCAGACCACAUCAGGAUCCCCUAUCUAGCUUACCAGCCACGUCCAAGAUAAAGACAAUGUUGGACAAUACCUCCCACCCACUUCAUGACAUGCUGGCUAGCCACAGGAACACGUUCAGUGAGAGACUGAGAUUACCAAAAAGCACCACUGAACAACAUAGGAAAUCAUUCCUGCCUGUGGCCAUCUCCCUGUAUAAAUCCUCCAUCUAAUACACUGUAAACACUGCAAUAGUUACAUUCUUUUGCACAUGCUGUUUCUCACUCAUUAAUGUUGCUGUCUAUUUUCUUGAUAUUUAUUUAUAACCACAUUUGUCAACCCUGGAUAUUAAUUAUAUGGUGAUUUGUAUAUAUUGUAUAUAUUGUGCUAUUCCUUAUAUCUGAACAUAUUGUAUUGCUAAUAGUCUAGUCUGUUUUUGUUUUUGUUUCUAUUAAUGUUACUAUACUGGAGCAACCAUAACCCACAUAAUUUCCCCAGGGAUUAAUAAAGUAUUCUGAUUCUGA